AACGGACGCUGGCGGCAUGCCUAACACAUGCAAGUCGACGAGAUCUUCGGGUCUAGUGGCGCACGGGUGCGUAACGCGUGGGAAUCUGCCCUUUGGUUCGGAAUAACAGUUGGAAACGACUGCUAAUACCGGAUGAUGACGAAAGUCCAAAGAUUUAUCGCCAGAGGAUGAGCCCGCGUAGGAUUAGCUAGUUGGUGUGGUAAAGGCGCACCAAGGCGACGAUCCUUAGCUGGUCUGAGAGGAUGAUCAGCCACACUGGGACUGAGACACGGCCCAGACUCCUACGGGAGGCAGCAGUGGGGAAUAUUGGACAAUGGGCGAAAGCCUGAUCCAGCAAUGCCGCGUGAGUGAUGAAGGCCUUAGGGUUGUAAAGCUCUUUUACCCGGGAUGAUAAUGACAGUACCGGGAGAAUAAGCUCCGGCUAACUCCGUGCCAGCAGCCGCCGUAA
rnacentral:rRNA from 1 species